rnacentral:rRNA from 1 species
AUACAUGCAGUCGACGCGCAGCGAAAGGUGCUUGCACCUUUCAAGCGAGUGGCGAACGGGUGAGUAACACGUGGAUAACCUGCCUCAAGGCUGGGGAUAACAUUUGGAAACAGAUGCUAAUACCGAAUAAAACUUAGUAUCGCAUGAUACAAAGUUGAAAGGCGCUACGGCGUCACCUAGAGAUGGGUCCGCGGUGCAUUAGUUAGUUGGUGGGGUAAAGGCCUACCAAGACAAUGAUGCAUAGCCGAGUUGAGAGACUGAUCGGCCACAUUGGGACUGAGACACGGCCCAAACUCCUACGGGAGGCUGCAGUAGGGAAUCUUCCACAAUGGGCGAAAGCCUGAUGGAGCAACGCCGCGUGUGUGAUGAAGGCUUUAGGGUCGUAAAGCACUGUUGUAUGGGAAGAAAUGCUAGAAUAGGGAAUGAUUCUAGUUCGACGGUACCAUACCAGAAAGGGACGGCUAAAUACGUGCCAGCAGCCGCGGUAAUACGUAUGUCCCGAGCGUUAUCCGGAUUUAUUGGGCGUAAAGCGAGCGCAGACGGUUGAUUAAGUCUGAUGUGAAAGCCCGGAGCUCAACUCCGGAAUGGCAUUGGAAACUGGUUAACUUGAGUGUUGUAGAGGUAAGUGGAACUCCAUGUGUAGCGGUGGAAUGCGUAGAUAUAUGGAAGAACACCAGUGGCGAAGGCGGCUUACUGGACAACAACUGACGUUGAGGCUCGAAAGUGUGGGUAGCAAACAGGAUUAGAUACCCUGGUAGUCCACACCGUAAACGAUGAAUACUAGGUGUUAGGAGGUUUCCGCCUCUUAGUGCCGAAGCUAACGCAUUAAGUAUUCCGCCUGGGGAGUACGACCGCAAGGUUGAAACUCAAAGGAAUUGACGGGGACCCGCACAAGCGGUGGAGCAUGUGGUUUAAUUCGAAGCAACGCGAAGAACCUUACCAG